rnacentral:misc_RNA from 1 species
UGUCACACAAUCCUCCAGCAAUCUGCGUUGGGACAUAUGUUAAAGCAAGAUAUAGAAUGGUAGAGAAAUAGAGUAAUUAGAAAUAGUUGUUACUUAGAGCCAAUCAUAUGUUAAAAAAAAAAGAGUAUAUUAAGCAAAUAGAGAAAACUUAUUGUAACCAAGGAAAUCAUUCUCAAAGAUUCAAUUAUUCUGAUAAUAGAGCAUGGUUUUAAAUAACAGUUAUUACAUUAUGUAUCGGCCGUUAUUUAAAAGUUUUUUGGCUUACCGUUAUCGUUAUCACCGUUAUUUAACGGAUUUUUAAAUUUGUAACUGUAAAGCCCGUUACAGCCGUGUUAAGUAACGGCUAUCACCAACCGUUAAUUAACAGUCAUAACGGCCGUUACUUUUCCCAUUAAGAAUUCUUAGCCUUUUUUUUUUAACCUCUUUCAUAU